UACGAAGGGGGCUAGCGUUGUUCGGAAUCACUGGGCGUAAAGCGCACGUAGGCGGAUGUGCCAGUCAGGGGUGAAAUCCCGGAGCUCAACUUCGGAACUGCCUCUGAUACAGCACGUCUUGAGUCCGGAAGAGGUGGGCGGAAUUCCUAGUGUAGAGGUGAAAUUCGUAGAUAUUCGGAAGAACACCAGUGGCGAAGGCGACUUACUGGACACAUAUUGACGCUGAGGUGCGAAAGCGUGGGGAGCAAACAGG
rnacentral:rRNA from 1 species